GCCCGCUUGGCUUAGUGGUAAAGCGCAUCACUAGUACCAUGUACGAAACACUUCACAUUUAGUGUGAUGAUGAGAUCACUGGUUCGAUUCCAGUAGCGGGCA